rnacentral:piRNA from 1 species
UGUUGAAUUGUGGUAGCUUAGGAGGAUGUC